ACCUAACAGCUUUGGAGACUUCAGCACCCCAUCCUCUGCUGUCAGAGCCAUGUGCACUUAUUUCCUUUCCACUGUCAA
rnacentral:lncRNA from 12 species